UACGUAGGGUGCAAGCGUUAAUCGGAAUUACUGGGCGUAAAGCGUGCGUAGGCGGUUCGUUAUGUCUGCUGUGAAAUCCCCGGGCUCAACCUGGGAAUGGCAGUGGAAACUGGCGGGCUUGAGUGUGGCAGGAGGGGGUGGAAUUCCGCGUGUAGCAGUGAAAUGCGUAGAGAUGCGGAGGAACACCGAUGGCGAAGGCAGCCCCUGGGCUAACACUGACGCUGAGGCACGAAAGCGUGGGGAGCAAACAGG
rnacentral:rRNA from 1 species